rnacentral:rRNA from 1 species
UACGGGGGGUGCAAGCGUUGUUCGGAAUCAUUGGGCGUAAAGAGCGUGUAGGCGGCUUGAUAAGUCAGAUGUGAAAGCCCGGGGCUCAACCCCGGAAGUGCAUUUGAAACUGUCUGGCUAGAGUAGGGGAGAGGAAAGUGGAAUUCCUGGUGUAGAGGUGAAAUUCGUAGAUAUCAGGAGGAACACCGGUGGCGAAGGCGACUUUCUGGCCCUAUACUGACGCUGAGACGCGAGAGCGUGGGUAG